UUUAUGGAGAGUUUGAUCCUGGCUCAGGAUGAACGCUGGCGGCGUGCCUAAUACAUGCAAGUCGAGCGAACGGACGAGAAGCUUGCUUCUCUGAUGUUAGCGGCGGACGGGUGAGUAACACGUGGAUAACCUACCUAUAAGACUGGGAUAACUUCGGGAAACCGGAGCUAAUACCGGAUAAUAUUUUGAACCGCAUGGUUCAAAA
rnacentral:rRNA from 1 species